rnacentral:rRNA from 1 species
AACGAACGCUGGCGGCAGGCCUAACACAUGCAAGUCGAACGGACCCUUCGGGGUUAGUGGCGGACGGGUGAGUAACGCGUGAGAAUCUGCCUUCAGGUCUGGGACAACAGAAGGAAACUUCUGCUAAUCCGGGAUGAGCCUUUUGGUAAAAGAUAAAUUGCCUGGAGAUGAGCUCGCGUCUGAUUAGCUAGUUGGUGUGGUAAAAGCAUGCCAAGGCAACGAUCAGUAGCUGGUCUGAGAGGAUGAGCAGCCACACUGGGACUGAGACACGGCCCAGACUCCUACGGGAGGCAGCAGUGGGGAAUCUUCCGCAAUGGGCGAAAGCCUGACGGAGCGACACCGCGUGAGGGAUGACACCUUUUGGGGCGUAAACCUCUUUUCUGAGUGAAUAAGUUCUGAAGUUAACUCAGGAAUAAGCUCCGGCUAAUUACGUGCCAGCAGCCGCAGUAAC